GGUUGGAUGGCCGAGCGGUCUAAGGCGCCAGAUUAAGGUCCAGCUUCCACGUGAGGCUUCUCGAUGGUGUAUCGAUUAUCUGAUCAUCCGUGGCGUGGGUUUGAAUCCCACUCCAAUCA